UCGCCAGGCUGUUCCGAGCCCUCCCAGGAGGAAUUCAAUCAGCUUCACGGUGAUUAAUUACCCGGCCAUAGCCUCAGGUGCAGAGCUCCCCUGGGAUAGGACAGGGCAGAGGCACAGCCCUGGCCCAGACUCCCUCCUGGGAAUAAAACCUGCAUGGGAUCAGCUGUAAUUAGCAGCACCCAAUUAUAUAUCCCACUACAAAUGAUGAUGAAAAAGCAAAAACCCCGAACUAAAAAUAUCUCCCCUGGGAGAAGUGUGGCCAGUGUUUAAGCUGAUAAGACAGAGCGAGGAGGAAUAUGAAGCAGCGAACUGUCCUUCCACAUAAAAGGCUACAAACACCACCAUGGCCCAGCUGGAGAGCCCCUGAGCGCUGGUGGGGAGCAGCACCCUCCCAACAGAGUGGGGACAAAAGCACAGCAGUGGCCAAGGACAGACCGCACACGUUGUGGGAACCUUGUGGAGAUAUCCAAAAUAGUUGGCUGAUUUGCCUCCCCUUGAGGAUAUUUCAUGGGAAAGAGAUGCCAGGCUGUUUCCUCAGGAAUUUGUGAGCUCUGCCGCAUUUCAAGUGAAAAUGGGUUGGAACGACCAAGGAGGGGCAGGAGAGACGGAGGGAAGUGCUCAAUGUGAUCCCAGUCUUGGGCAGCUGCUGAGACCUGGAGCAGGGUUUCCUGGGCUCCCCAAGAAGCAUUUUUGGGACUUUUUCGGCAGAUGCAGCACUCACCACCCUGUGCUGCAUCCCUGGGCAAGACAAGGGUGCAGCCACCUGUGGUGUCUGCAGAGCCCACCCACAGCCCUGCUCUGUAGGUUUGGGAGGGCUCUGCACUAAAAGCAAUGCAAAUCACAUGUUUUUCUUUACAGAACACAGUACAAGCUUUUGCACUUAAGUCAAAAGGCGUUUUUACCUUAAAAGUGUGAUUUGCUGCAAGGGAACAAUGAAUUUAAAAUAAGUUUUAUUUCUAAAUAGUUUUGUACGCUGGCUUGCUUUGUCCUGAAAAACUUCUUCUCAGUUCUGUUCUCUGUUUUUGUGUUUGCUGAUGAAUAGGGUCAUUGAGAGAUGGCUGUGAUGGAGGGAAAGCCCUUAGCCAGGCUCUCUGGCUUGCAGCAGAGGAACUCUGGCCAAGGAGGUGGAUGCUUGGGACCUCCUGCUAGAGAAAUGGCAUCUGUGAAAAUCAGAUCCAGCUGAAGUCUGAGCAUUCAGAACAAGUAACACUGCCUCCAUCACAGUGUUUGAUCUGUCAUGGUGCUGAGGUCUUUACCCUGUGUCUGCUCCCAGCCCCUGCCCCUCUGGCUGGUGAUUUGGCUCCCUGGGGACUCCCAGAGCAGCACAUCAGCCGGAGCCUCCUGUGCUGUGGCACAAGGACAGAGCCAUAUGUCACUUCUGUGGCACUAGGAGCUCCUCUGUAAAUGUUCUAGAGGUGUUACACAACCCAACAAACCCAGAACUGUGAAGAAUGUGGAGCAAAACACAAGGAAUUUAGUAGAGCAUGUGAAAGACGUUACAAACCCAUAAAUUUUCCCCUAAUGCAAUCCUUAUGCAGAUCUGGGCACAGGCCUGGGCCCUCUGUGCCAUCACUCACCCUGACAAAUGAAACUUUCUCAAACUUUUGCACAUGAAGGAAAGGUUUGCAGUUUGGUUUCCUGGUUUGCUUGUUUUUAAAUGCGUAACAUGAGUGAUUAUGUCUCAAACCAAAUGUUUCAAAGGCCUUCUAACUUUCUGGAAGAUUCAUGGCACAGCUUCCCCAUGUUUUUUGAAGAGGAAAGUACAUUUAUUUAUUGCACUUUAAGGGAGAGAUAGUAUCUCUCAGCCAAUUCCCUAAAACAGCCCUGCUGUCCUAAGGCACUUACCGAGUAUUGCUCUGCUCAGCUAAUAUAUUACUAUAUAAAAAGGGAACAAAUGACCUUAAAAUUCGGACAUCUGUCUCUGAUGGGUUUCUCUGUGGUUCUCAGAAAGAAGUAACAGAGACAGACCUCCCUCA